UACUUUUCCCUGUUAAACUCCAUCAGGUGGGAGCUGGCAGAUCUGUUUGGAUUAACCCGCAGGCCAUGCAUGGGCCAGGGGCUCCCAGUGAUGCCAGAGAGCUGGGACCAGACUGCCACACUGUCCCCUUAGGAGCUCCAGACCCAGAUGGGGAAACUGAGGCUCAAGGUCACCAGGCUAAUGGGAGCCGCCGGCAGGAAUCUGCUCUGGAGAAAGCCCCUCGUCCCUGCUUGGGAGAGGGCCGCUGGCUGGACCUGAGCCGGGAAAGGGGCCUGUGUGGACGGAGGCGGCAGGCUUGGCACGACCCCUGAGAAGCGCUCAGGGUCUCUUGGCAGAAACAGAGGACUGGGCCCCUGUAAGAGAGGCCUCCCUACCCACCCCACAGCAGCGUGGGACCAGGUGAGCGAGAGCCAGGGUAGCAGUGUUGUCAGGGCAACGAGAGGCACACCCUUUAUUCCCAGGGGUUGUCCUGAAACUGCCCUUUGAGCAGCUAUGACCCGUCCAGCCUAGGACUUGGGGACCAGGACCCAGGAGGUACCUCUCAAAAGCCCACGUGACUUUCUUGCUAUGGAAUGUAAAGCAGAAGCGAGUCCCUGGCUUCCCUGCAUUUGGAGGGGUGCCCCUGCAUCUGGUACAGGGACCAUCAUUGUCAGCACGUGGGUCUUACAGAGGGGGAAGCUGAGGGCUGGGAGGGGAGACCUCUGGCCCAGGUUUCAUGAGUGGGUGGCACGCCCACUGUUUAAGGCAGGUGUUGUUUCAUCCACAUUUACAGAUGUGAAAACUGAAGCUCAGGGAGAUUAAGUGAUCUGUCCAGGGUCACACAGCUUGUCUGUGGCAGAACUGGGUUUCAAGCCCACGUGAGCCCAGAAGCUGUGUUCACCAUUAGCCCCUCCUGGGCCCAUGGACGUGGGAAGAGGCAGGCAAAGGGGGUCUGGCUUCCCACCCCCUCCCUGCCCAGGGGUUUGUGGGAGCUAGGUGCAGAGCCCAGGAGGGACAGCAGGCUGUGAGUGGGUGCUGGAGGGGCUGACUAUUGGGGGGGGCCCACAGAGAGGCUUGGGGAGCUGAGGGCAGAUAUGCUACCAAAGCAAACGGCCCCACAGCCCUGCAUUCCUGGGAACUGCUGCGGCGCCCUGCUCUGGCCAAGAGCUCCACCCUCUUCAGCCGCACAGUGGCGGGGGCCGGGGGGCAGGGGCAGGCCUCAUCUUCUCAGGGCCCCCCUUUCUGACCAGGCCACAGAGCAGGGCUCCAGUAUGCGUCAGACCACCUGGGUCUCCAACUUGGCUCUGCCACUUCCGGCCCAUUUGACUUAGGGCAAGUCACCUCCCAGUCUGAGCCUCAUUGUUGUCAUGUCUAAAACAGGACGAUAAUCAUAGAAUAAGGCAUACCCCUCGGGCUUCCCUGGUGGCACAGUGGUUAAGAAUCCACCUGCCAAUGCAGGGGACACAGGUUUGAGCCCUGGUCCGGGAAGAUCCCACAUGCCGCAGAGCAACUAAGCCUGUGCGCCACAGCUACUGAGCCUGCGCUCUAAGGCCUGCGAGCCACAGCUACUGAAGCCCACAUGCCUAGAGCCUGUGCUCCGCAACGAGAAGCCACCGCAGUGAGAAGCCCUAGCACUGCAACAAAGAGUAGCCCCCACUCACCGCAACUAGAGAAAGCCUGCGCCCAGCAACAAAGACCCAACUCAGCCAUAAAUAAAUAAAUAAAUUUAAAGACAUACCCCUCAUUGGAUUUUGGGGAGAAAUCAAUAAAAUGCUGCAUAUCCGA